rnacentral:rRNA from 1 species
GAUGAACGCUAGCGGCAGGCUUAACACAUGCAAGUCGAGGGGUAACAGGGAGGAGCUUGCUUUUCCGCUGACGACCGGCGCACGGGUGCGUAACGCGUAUAGAACCUACCUUUUACAGGGGAAUAGCCCAGAGAAAUUUGGAUUAAUGCCCCAUAGUAUUAUUGAAUGGCAUCAUUUAAUAAUUAAACAUUUAUGGGUAAAAGAUGGCUAUGCGUUCUAUUAGCUAGAUGGUAAGGUAACGGCUUACCAUGGCAACGAUAGAUAGGGGUCCUGAGAGGGAGAUCCCCCACACUGGUACUGAGACACGGACCAGACUCCUACGGGAGGCAGCAGUGAGGAAUAUUGGACAAUGGAGGCAACUCUGAUCCAGCCAUGCCGCGUGCAGGAAGACGGUCCUAUGGAUUGUAAACUGCUUUUAUAUAGGAAGAAACCUUUCCACGUGUGGAAAGCUGACGGUACUAUAAGAAUAAGCACCGGCUAACUCCGUGCCAGCAGCCGCGGUAAUACGGAGGGUGCAAGCGUUAUCCGGAAUCAUUGGGUUUAAAGGGUCCGUAGGCGGACUAAUAAGUCAGGGGUGAAAUCCAACAGCUUAACUGUUGAACUGCCUUUGAUACUGUUAGUCUUGAGUUAUAUGGAAGUAGAUAGAAUAUGUAGUGUAGCGGUGAAAUGCUUAGAGAUUACAUAGAAUACCGAUUGCGAAGGCAGUCUACUACGUAUAUA